rnacentral:rRNA from 1 species
UACGUAGGGUGCGAGCGUUGUCCGGAAUUACUGGGCGUAAAGAGCUCGUAGGUGGUUUGUCGCGUUGUUCGUGAAAACUCACAGCUCAACUGUGGGCGUGCGGGCGAUACGGGCAGACUGGAGUACUGCAGGGGAGACUGGAAUUCCUGGUGUAGCGGUGGAAUGCGCAGAUAUCAGGAGGAACACCGGUGGCGAAGGCGGCUCUCUGGAACGGUACUGACGCUGAGACGCGAAAGCGUGGGGAGCGAACAGG